CCCUCAAGCAACUCCAGCAUCUAUUUUUCCUCCCUGCGGUAAGAACAUAGACAUUAUCAGUAGUGUAAUGUACCAACUUUUGGUAAGUUGCCACUAGCAAUUCAUGCAUCUAUAAUGUUUUGAGUUGGGAUGAGGGUUAAUUUCCCUCGAGGAAUAUUCUUUUUUAUCUGACUUUAGAAGUUAAAACACUUUCAAUUCUGUAUUCCUUUUGGCAUCUACUUGCUAUGAGGAUUCAUGCUAUUUUGCUCAC
rnacentral:misc_RNA from 1 species